rnacentral:rRNA from 1 species
AUUGAACGCUGGCGGCAUGCUUUACACAUGCAAGUCGAACGGUAACAGCACUUCGGUGGCUGACGAGUGGCGCACGGGUGAGUAAUACAUCGGAACGUGCCUAGUAGUGGGGGAUAACUACUCGAAAGAGUAGCUAAUACCGCAUGAGAUCUAAGGAUGAAAGCAGGGGACCUUCGGGCCUUGCGCUACUAAGGCGGCUGAUGGCAGAUUAGGUAGUUGGUGGGAUAAAAGCUUACCAAGCCGACGAUCUGGAGCUGGUCUGAGAGGACGACCAGCCACACAGAGACUGAGACGCGGCCCAGACUCCUACAGGAGGCCGCAGUGGGGAAUUUUGGACGAUGGGCGCAAGCCUGAUCAAGCAAUGCCGCGUGCAGGAUGAAGGCCUUCGGGUUGUAAGCUGCUUUUGUACGGAAAGAAAAGUCCUCUUAUAGAACAAGAGGGUCAUGACGGUACCGUAAGAAUAAGCACCGGCUAACUACGUG